CCUACGGGGGGCAGCAGUGAGGAAUAUUGGUCAAUGGGCGAGAGCCUGAACCAGCCAAGUCGCGUGAGGGAGUACUGCCCUAUGGGUUGUAAACCUCUUUUGUCGGGGAGCAAAAGCCGGACGUGUCCGGCUGUGAGAGUACCCGAAGAAAACGCAUCGGCUAACUCCGUGCCAGCAGCCGCGGUAAUACGGAGGAUGCGAGCGUUAUCCGGAUUUAUUGGGUUAAAAGGGUGCGCAGGCGGAUUUUUAAGUCAGCGGUAAAAUCGUGGGGCUCAACCCCAUCCAGCCGUUGAAACUGGGGAUCUAGAGUGUGCGAGAGGUAUGCGGAAUGCGUGGUGUAGCGGUGAAAUGCAUAGAUAUCACGCAGAACCCCGAUUGCGAAGGCAGCAUACCGGUGCACAACUGACGCUCAGGCACGAAAGCGUGGGUAUCGAACAGGAUUAGAUACCCUGGUAGUC
rnacentral:rRNA from 1 species